rnacentral:rRNA from 1 species
GGACUACUGGGGUAUCUAAUCCUGUUUGCUACCCACGCUUUCGCGCCUCAGCGUCAGUACCGGUCCAGGUAGCCGCCUUCGCCACUGGUGUUCCUCCCAGUAUCUACGCAUUUCACCGCUACACUGGGAAUUCCGCUACCCCCUCCCGGCCUCAAGCCUCACAGUUUCAAAGGCAGUUCCUCAGUUGAGCCGAGGGAUUUCACCUUUGACUUACGAAGCCGCCUACGCGCCCUUUACGCCCAAUAAUUCCGAAUAACGCUCGCCCCCUCCGUAUUACCGCGGCUGCUGGCAC